GAUGAACGCUGGCGGCGUGCCUAAUACAUGCAAGUCGAGCGAACAGAUGAGGAGCUUGCUCCUCUGACGUUAGCGGCGGACGGGUGAGUAACACGUGGAUAACCUACCUAUAAGACUGGGAUAACUUCUGGAAACCGGUGCUAAUACCGCAUAAUAUAUUUAACCGCAUGGUUCAAUAUUGAAAGACGGUUUUGCUUUCACUUAUAGUUGUAUCCGCGCCGCAUUAGCUAGUUGGUAAGGUAACGGCUUACCAAGGCAACGAUGAGUAGCCGACCUGAGAGGGUGAUCGGCCACACUGGAACUGAGACACGGUCAAGACUCCUACGGGAGGCAGCAGUAGGGAAUCUUCCGAAAUGGGCGAAAGCCUGACGGAGAAACGCCGCGUGAGUGAUGAAGGUCUUCGGAUCGUAAAACUCUGUUAUUAGGGAAGAACAAAUGUGUAAGUAACUAUGCACGUAGUGACGGUACCUAAUCAGAAAGCCACGGCUAACUACGUG
rnacentral:rRNA from 1 species